rnacentral:rRNA from 1 species
GAUGAACGCUAGCGGCAGGCUUAAUACAUGCAAGUCGAGGGGCAGCACAGGUAGCAAUACUGGGUGGCGACCGGCAAACGGGUGCGGAACACGUACACAACUUACCUUCUGGUGGGGGAUAGCCUUGGAAACGGAGAUUAAUACCCCAUAUUAUAUAUGAGCUGCAUGGUUUGUAUAUUAAAGAUUUAUUGCCGGAAGAUGGGUGUGCGUAUGAUUAGGUAGUUGGCGGGGUAACGGCCCACCAAGCCGACGAUCAUUAACUGGUGUGAGAGCACGACCAGUCACACGGGCACUGAGACACGGGCCCGACUCCUACGGGAGGCAGCAGUAAGGAAUAUUGGUCAAUGGACGGAAGUCUGAACCAGCCAUGCCGCGUGGAGGAUGAAGGUCCUCUGGAUUGUAAACUUCUUUUAUAGGGGGCGCAAAAAGGGAAUUCUUUCUCGUCUGACGGUACCCUAUGAAUAAGCACCGGCUAACUACGUGCCAGCCGCCGCGGUAAUAC